rnacentral:rRNA from 1 species
GACCUCGGAUCAGGUAGGGAUACCCGCUGAACUUAAGCAUAUCAAUAAGCGGAGGAAAAGAAACCAACAGGGAUUGCCUUAGUAACGGCGAGUGAAGCGGCAAUAGCUCAAAUUUGAAAUCUGGCCUUACGGUCCGAAUUGUAAUUUGUAGAGGAUGCUUCGAGCAUGGUCUGGUCUAAGUUCUUUGGAACAAGACAUCAUAGAGGGUGAGAAUCCCGUAUGUGACUGGGUGCCUAAGCUCAUGUGAAGCUCCUUCAACGAGUCGAGUUGUUUGGGAAUGCAGCUCAAAAUGGGUGGUAAAUUUCAUCUAAAGCUAAAUACUGGCCAGAGACCGAUAGCGCACAAGUAGAGUGAUCGAAAGAUGAAAAGCACUUUGGAAAGAGAGUCAAACAGUACGUGAAAUUGUUGAAAGGGAAGCGC